rnacentral:rRNA from 1 species
UUCACCUACGGGAGGCAGCAGUAGGGAAUCUUCCACAAUGGGCGAAAGCCUGUUGGAGCAACGCCGCGUGGGUGAAGAAGGUCUUCGGAUCGUAAAACCCUGUUGUUAGAGAAGAAAGUGCGUGAGAGUAACUGUUCACGUUUCGACGGUAUCUAACCAGAAAGCCACGGCUAACUACGUGCCAGCAGCCGCGGUAAUACGUAGGUGGCAAGCGCUAUCCGGAUUUAUUGGGCGUAAAGCGAGCGCAGGCGGGUGCUUAGGUCUGAUGUGAAAGGCUUCGGCUUAACCGAAGAAGUGGAGCGGAA